rnacentral:rRNA from 1 species
UGGCCGUAAACGAUGUGGACUUGGUGUUGGAAUGGCUCCGAGCUGCUCCAGUGCCGAAGGGAAGCUGUUAAGUCCACCGCCUGGGAAGUACGGUCGCAAGACUGAGACUUAAAGGAAUUGGCGGGGGAGCACCACAACGCGUGGAGCCUGCGGUUUAAUUGGAUUCAACGCCGGGAAGCUCACCGGAUAAGACAGCGGAAUGAUUGCCGGGCUGAAGACCCUGCAUGACCAGCUGAGAGGAGGUGCAUGGCGUGUGACUGU